CACAGAUACUUUCAGAGCAAUGAUGAGCUGGACUUCUCUGCUGCUGCUGGCCUUCUUACCAUAUGUUCAUGGAAUCAGUCUGAGCUCGUCUCCUGCUCAGUUGAAGCCUCCUGGAGGAUCAGUGAGGCUGUCCUGUGAGGUUUCUGGCUAUCGUCUCUCUGAGUAUGGUACAUGCUGGAUCAGACAUCCUCCAGGGAAAGCCUUGGAGUGGAUCGGGAUCAUUUGGGGAAAUGGAGCUGUAGACACUGGAGCUUCCUUCAAGAGUCGCUUCAAAAUUUCCAGAGACACAAGCAGUAACGUGCUGUUCUUAGACAUCAGCAGCCUGGAGACUGGAGACACGGCUGUUUAUUACUGUGCAAGAAGAGACACAGCAGUGCAGCUCAGUGGGAGCUCUGUACAAAAACUCAUCAACAUCUGUGAUAAACAGCCUGGAUCAGCUGGUAGCAUUGAUGCAAAUAAAAUGACAGACUUCUUCCCUUUUAAAGGAGCAGACUGA